rnacentral:rRNA from 1 species
AUUGAACGCUGGCGGCAGGCCUAACACAUGCAAGUCGAGCGGAUGAAGGGAGCUUGCUCCUGGAUUCAGCGGCGGACGGGUGAGUAAUGCCUAGGAAUCUGCCUGGUAGUGGGGGAUAACGUCCGGAAACGGGCGCUAAUACCGCAUACGUCCUGAGGGAGAAAGUGGGGGAUCUUCGGACCUCACGCUAUCAGAUGAGCCUAGGUCGGAUUAGCUAGUUGGUGGGGUAAAGGCCUACCAAGGCGACGAUCCGUAACUGGUCUGAGAGGAUGAUCAGUCACACUGGGACUGAGACACCGUCCAGACUCCGACGGGAGGCAGCAAGGGGGAAUAUUGGACAAUGGGCGAAAGCCUGAUCCAGCCAUGCCGCGUGUGUGAAGAAGGUCUUCGGAUUGUAAAGCACUUUAAGUUGGGAGGAAGGGCAGUAAGUUAAUACCUUGCUGUUUUGACGUUACCAACAGAAUAAGCACCGGCUAACUUCGUG